AGGGGUUAAGACGGAGCACCCCCAAGAAGGAAUCACCACGUGGGCAUGCAGUGACCCCGACGCCAAGUAUCUGCCCGGCUCCGUGCAUCUGGGGCUGCACGGGGCUGUGCAGGCAGGUGGUGGUCCCGGCAGACCCUGGGCCGCCCGCUGGGAGCUCAGCUCCACAUGUGUCCUGAGGGCAACUUCCCGCUAGAGGUGUUCUCAUUUGUCUGAGAGCGGACGUGUGCUCCCGCGCCGUGUAACAUACGUGCCCACUGCCCCAUGAGGUCUGCCUUCAUGGAUUCAAACCAACAGAUAGGAUGGGGAUGGAACUGGGCACAGUUUCAGGAGUGAGAAGCAGAUGGGACCCGCGGCCACCGCCUGCCCACCCUGAGGUCUGCAGAGGGUGCAGCGCGCGACCUGACCCAAGGGCACUGACACACGCUGCCAGGAUACUUCCAGGAUUGGGACUGCGUCCCCAUAUACGAAGUUGAAGGCUAAGCUAAGCAUCAUCAAUAUGGCUGGAAAGGAGGCCCUGAGCAGUCUCAGUUUACCCAGGGAAUCCGAAGCAGGAUGUCUCCUGUGUGUUUCACACGGGCCGCCGUCACCGCCUAUGGACCCUGGGGGAGACGAAGGUUCUGUCGAUUAACACGAAAUUACCACGAAGCCUACUGAUAACCUACAGCAAAAGUCGGCUGCUCAGAUCAGGAUACCCUAAUGCCUUUACUGAAAUAUUCUGAAUUUAGCGAAGAUGUAUCUCCAUGUCCCUGGUUUAUCGCUUUCUUCAUUUUAAUUGUUGAUCCUUUCGAGAACCUGAUGAACCUACAGAUCUUUCAGAAAUUGGGCACCUUUUUGUUGUUGUUGUUGGGGGUGGGUUGUUUGACACAGGAGCGGACUAUGGGAUACACUGUGUUCAUUUAUGGGAACAAGUAAGAUAAUGUUGUGCCCAAGACUGCGAAUCCCAGAAACCAACCGAGGAGCCGACACCGAUGCAAACACACGAGGGUUUUUUUACAAGCUCGAGCUUGUGUCCAAGUAUACCCGACACAGCGGAGCAGGGACUUGGACCCCGAGAGUUUCUGAGAUUAACCCCCCAGGCUUUAAAGGCAAGUUGUUCUAGAGACUCCCUGAAGUGAAGAACUGCAUUUGUCCUUGGAGCUCUGGAGAAAUGCCUCAGAUCUGGCCGCCCUGGGCCCCCACGGCAGGUGGCAGGAUGGAAGCAAAACUCUGGAUCGCUCUGCUGCAUCAUUUAGGACUUGGAGUCAUUCGUGCGUCCAUCUGUUCCCUCAUCCACUCAUUCCAUGAACUUCGGUGACCAUGACCUCCUGGGCCAAGCCCUCCCCACCCCCCUCCAAAAAGGUGCCGAAGGCCUGAGGCCUCCAGGAGUUCCCAUCUCCCAUCUCCUGGGUUCCCAGGAGCUACUAGCAGCUGUAACAAAGAAGGGAUCUGAUAAACGAAUUCAUGAUGAGGUGUUAAUUACUGAUAAGUACUUAAUGUGUUACUCCUCUUAAGAUUUUUGCAUUUUAAUAGGACCAAUUCCUUAACUGAAAGGAGUGAAUUUCUAAUGUUGGUCGCUCCAGGGUGUUAAAAAUGAAAUUUAGGGGGAAUUUCCAGCAUAAUCCAAGAAGCAUUUCCAGCACUUACUCUGUACAUGAUUAAGACUGGAUCUCUUUUAUAUACAUUUGUAAUAGAUGAAAAAUAAACCAGAUUGCAAAUCCUUUUUUUUUUUUUUUUUUUAGCUUAAACCAUGUACCAAGUUU